CUGCGGGACACUGAUGCCCAUGGGUGGGACAAUGGUACAGUCCGUGAAAAAACUGGACUGUGCCGCCAAAAUCAGGACAGUUGGAAGCUAUGGUGAUGGGGAGCACAGCGAUGACGCAUCGGCUGAUGACGUCACGCGCUAUGCGCAGCCCAUCCGGGAACUGGUCCCGCCAACGGAGCAGCGUCUUCUCACGGGUGCACGAGGGUAUUUAGAUCCCAGCACCUGCAAUCUCCACCUCCAACACUUUCAUCUUCAGUAUCCUCACUACUGAUCGGAGGUAGUCCUGCAUCCAGGAUAAGGCUAGGUGACUCUUCCGUAGAAUCCUUCAGCACUAGGCCUGCUGCUGCUGCUGGGGGUGGAUCUUCAUCCGAGAAGGGGACCAAGAAGAGUACUAGUAAUUUCAAACAACAACUGACUGUUUAACAAUCCUUUGAAAGAGGGCGCAAGCAUGACAGCUGUCUCACAGUCGCACAGUGGAUCACUGACACCAUGGGCCUGAUGGUGUCAGUGAUGGUGUCAGUGAUUUACCGUUUGCAAAUGUGAGAAUGCAUGCAGUGAGCGAUUGUCGGCAGACUGUGCAUUUGCUGAAAACGCAUUGCGCAUGCAUGAAGGCCAAAAUGCAAUCGCCUUGCGUAUGUAGCCUACUUGUAAAGAGUACGCAUUUUGAUUGACAGGAAGUGACCAUUUGUGGGUGGUAACAUGGCAUUUGUGGGGAGUGGUUGGAAAGACGCAGGCUUGUUAUGGCCAUUUUCAGUGUAUCUGACGUCAUCUGCAAACGCUGCAUUCAAAAACAUGGCGCCUGGGGCAAAUGCUUUCUCAUUGAUUUGAGUAUGCUGGGGUCAGCUGCACAUGUCGAUGGUGUUCUCUUUUUGCGUUUGCAUUGCGAAUCUGCUAAUGCAUAGGGAGAUUUGCAAAUGCAUUGGUGGACGUCUAUUAUCCUUUCUGGGUGGCUCUUCACAUGCAAAUUUUAGCAAUAGAAGAUUUGUGAACAUCGCUAUCUCAGUCUCAAUAGUGAUCCAUUAUGAAUCAGGCCCUAUGACGGCUAUGCUAGUAUUAGAUCUGUGUCCAACAUCCACCAUAAAUGCAGCAGAUUUUAGACAGUUAAUUGAGGUCCUGAGUUCCUGCUAUCAAAUUCCAUCUAAUUUCCAUUUUUCUAGAUAAGCAAUUCCUCUGCUGUACCAGAACGUUAAAUAAAAACCCAAAGU